rnacentral:rRNA from 1 species
AAAUACUCCUGACUGACCGAUAGUGAACCAGUACCGUGAGGGAAAGGCGAAAAGAACCCCGGCGAGGGGAGUGAAAAAGAACCUGAAACCGUGUACGUACAAGCAGUGGGAGCACAGAGCAAUCUGUGUGACUGCGUACCUUUUGUAUAAUGGGUCAGCGACUUAUAUUCUGUAGCAAGGUUAACCGAAUAGGGGAGCCGAAGGGAAACCGAGUCUUAACUGGGCGUUAAGUUGCAGGGUAUAGACCCGAAACCCGGUGAUCUAGCCAUGGGCAGGUUGAAGGUUGGGUAACACUAACUGGAGGACCGAACCGACUAAUGUUGAAAAAUUAGCGGAUGACUUGUGGCUGGGGGUGAAAGGCCAAUCAAACCGGGAGAUAGCUGGUUCUCCCCGAAAGCUAUUUAGGUAGCGCCUCGUGAAUUCAUCUCCGGGGGUAGAGCACUGUUUCGGCAAGGGGGUCAUCCCGACUUACCAACCCGAUGCAAACUGCGAAUACCGGAGAAUGUUAUCACGGGAGACACACGGCGGGUGCUAACGUCCGUCGUGAAGAGGGAAACAACCCAGACCGCCAGCUAAGGUCCCAAAGUCAUGGUUAAGUGGGAAACGAUGUGGGAAGGCCCAGACAGCCAGGAUGUUGGCUUAGAAGCAGCCAUCAUUUAAAGAAAGCGUAAUAGCUCACUGGUCGAGUCGGCCUGCGCGGAAGAUGUAACGGGGCUAAACCAUGCACCGAAGCUGCGGCAGCGACGCUGAUGCGUUGUUGGGUAGGGGAGCGUUCUGUAAGCCUGUGAAGGUGUACUGUGAGGUAUGCUGGAGGUAUCAGAAGUGCGAAUGCUGACAUAAGUAACGAUAAAGCGGGUGAAAAGCCCGCUCGCCGGAAGACCAAGGGUUCCUGUCCAACGUUAAUCGGGGCAGGGUGAGUCGACCCCUAAGGCGAGGCCGAAAGGCGUAGUCGAUGGGAAACAGGUUAAUAUUCCUGUACUUGGUGUUACUGCGAAGGGGGGACGGAGAAGGCUAUGUUGGCCGGGCGACGGUUGUCCCGGUUUAAGCGUGUAGGCUGGUUUUCCAGGCAAAUCCGGAAAACUAAGGCUGAGGCGUGAUGACGAGGCACUACGGUGCUGAAGCAACAAAUGCCCUGCUUCCAGGAAAAGCCUCUAAGCAUCAGGUAACAUCAAAUCGUACCCCAAACCGACACAGGUGGUCAGGUAGAGAAUACCAAGGCGCUUGAGAGAACUCGGGUGAAGGAACUAGGCAAAAUGGUGCCGUAACUUCGGGAGAAGGCACGCUGAUAUGUAGGUGAAGUCCCUCGCGGAUGGAGCUGAAAUCAGUCGAAGAUACCAGCUGGCUGCAACUGUUUAUUAAAAACACAGCACUGUGCAAACACGAAAGUGGACGUAUACGGUGUGACGCCUGCCCGGUGCCGGAAGGUUAAUUGAUGGGGUUAGCGCAAGCGAAGCUCUUGAUCGAAGCCCCGGUAAACGGCGGCCGUAACUAUAACGGUCCUAAGGUAGCGAAAUUCCUUGUCGGGUAAGUUCCGACCUGCACGAAUGGCGUAAUGAUGGCCAGGCUGUCUCCACCCGAGACUCAGUGAAAUUGAACUCGCUGUGAAGAUGCAGUGUACCCGCGGCAAGACGGAAAGACCCCGUGAACCUUUACUAUAGCUUGACACUGAACAUUGAGCCUUGAUGUGUAGGAUAGGUGGGAGGCUUUGAAGUGUGGACGCCAGUCUGCAUGGAGCCGACCUUGAAAUACCACCCUUUAAUGUUUGAUGUUCUAACGUUGACCCGUAAUCCGGGUUGCGGACAGUGUCUGGUGGGUAGUUUGACUGGGGCGGUCUCCUCCUAAAGAGUAACGGAGGAGCACGAAGGUUGGCUAAUCCUGGUCGGACAUCAGGAGGUUAGUGCAAUGGCAUAAGCCAGCUUGACUGCGAGCGUGACGGCGCGAGCAGGUGCGAAAGCAGGUCAUAGUGAUCCGGUGGUUCUGAAUGGAAGGGCCAUCGCUCAACGGAUAAAAGGUACUCCGGGGAUAACAGGCUGAUACCGCCCAAGAGUUCAUAUCGACGGCGGUGUUUGGCACCUCGAUGUCGGCUCAUCACAUCCUGGGGCUGAAGUAGGUCCCAAGGGUAUGGCUGUUCGCCAUUUAAAGUGGUACGCGAGCUGGGUUUAGAACGUCGUGAGACAGUUCGGUCCCUAUCUGCCGUGGGCGCUGGAGAAUUGAGGGGGGCUGCUCCUAGUACGAGAGGACCGGAGUGGACGCAUCACUGGUGUUCGGGUUGUCAUGCCAAUGGCACUGCCCGGUAGCUAAAUGCGGAAGAGAUAAGUGCUGAAAGCAUCUAAGCACGAAACUUGCCCCGAGAUGAGUUCUCCCUGACUCCUUGAGAGUCCUGAAGGAACGUUGAAGACGACGACGUUGAUAGGCCGGGUGUGUAAGCGCAGCGAUGCGUUGAGCUAACCGGUACUAAUGAACCGUGAGGCUUAACCUU